GUGCCAGCAGCCGCGGUAAUACGUAGGGGGCAAGCGUUGUCCGGAAUUAUUGGGCGUAAAGCGCGCGCAGGCGGCUUCUUAAGUCUGAUGUGAAAGCCCGCGGCUCAACCGCGGAGGGUCAUUGGAAACUGGGGAGCUUGAGUGCAGGAGAGGAGAGUGGAAUUCCACGUGUAGCGGUGAAAUGCGUAGAGAUGUGGAGGAACACCAGUGGCGAAAGCGGCUCUCUGGCCUGUAACUGACGCUGAGGCGCGAAAGCGUGGGGAGCAAACAGGAUUAGAUACCCUGGUAGUCC
rnacentral:rRNA from 1 species